AGCAGCCGCGGUAAUUCCAGCUCCAAUAGCGUAUAUUAAAGUUGUUGCAGUUAAAAAGCUCGUAGUUGAACUUCGGGGUUCACCCAUUGGUCAGGCUUAAUUGUCUGUACUGGUGAGAUGAGUCUCUACCUUCUGAGGAACUUUCAUGCCAUUUAUUUGGUGUGAUGGGAAAUCAGGACUGUUACUUUGAAAAAAUUAGAGUGUUUAAAGCAGGCUAACGUCUGAAUACAUUAGCAUGGAAUAAUGAAAUAGGACGGAUUGAUUCUAUUUCGUUGGUUUCUAGGGUCACCGUAAUGAUUAAUAGGGAUAGUUGGGGGCAUUAGUAUUCAAUUGUCAGAGGUGAAAUUCUUGGAUUUAUUGAAGACUAACUACUGCGAAAGCAUUUGCCAAGGAUGUUUUCAUUAAUCAAGAACGAAAGUUAGGGGAUCGAAGACGAUCAGAUACCGUCGUAGUCUUAACCAUAAACUAUGCCGACUAGGGAUCGGACGCAGUUAAUUUUAUAAUGACGUG
rnacentral:rRNA from 1 species